rnacentral:rRNA from 1 species
UAACAUGCAAGUCGAACGAUGAACCACUUCGGUGGGGAUUAGUGGCGAACGGGUGAGUAACACGUGGGCAAUCUGCCCUUCACUCUGGGACAAGCCCUGGAAACGGGGUCUAAUACCGGAUAUCACUCCCGCAGGCAUCUGUGGGGGUCGAAAGCUCCGGCGGUGAAGGAUGAGCCCGCGGCCUAUCAGCUUGUUGGUGAGGUAAUGGCUCACCAAGGCGACGACGGGUAGCCGGCCUGAGAGGGCGACCGGCCACACUGGGACUGAGACACGGCCCAGACUCCUACGGGAGGCAGCAGUGGGGAAUAUUGCACAAUGGGCGAAAGCCUGAUGCAGCGACGCCGCGUGAGGGAUGACGGCCUUCGGGUUGUAAACCUCUUUCAGCAGGGAAGAAGCGAAAGUGACGGUACCUGCAGAAGAAGCGCCGGCUAACUACGUGCCAGCAGCCGCGGUAAUACGUAGGGCGCAAGCGUUGUCCGGAAUUAUUGGGCGUAAAGAGCUCGUAGGCGGCUUGUCACGUCGGGUGUGAAAGCCCGGGGCUUAACCCCGGGUCUGCAUUCGAUACGGGCUAGCUAGAGUGUGGUAGGGGAGAUCGGAAUUCCUGGUGUAGCGGUGAAAUGCGCAGAUAUCAGGAGGAACACCGGUGGCGAAGGCGGAUCUCUGGGCCAUUACUGACGCUGAGGAGCGAAAGCGUGGGGAGCGAACAGGAUUAGAUACCCUGGUAGUCCACGCCGUAAACGGUGGGAACUAGGUGUUGGCGACAUUCCACGUCGUCGGUGCC